UGUUGGGUAGGGGAGCGUUCUGUAAGCCGUUGAAGGUGGCCUGUGAGGGUUGCUGGAGGUAUCAGAAGUGCGAAUGCUGACAUAAGUAACGAUAAAGCGGGUGAAAAGCCCGCUCGCCGGAAGACCAAGGGUUCCUGUCCAACGUUAAUCGGGGCAGGGUGAGUCGACCCCUAAGGCGAGGCCGAAAGGCGUAGUCGAUGGGAAACAGGUUAAUAUUCCUGUACUCGGUGUUACUGCGAAGGGGGGACGGAGAAGGCUAUGUUAGCCGGGCGACGGUUGUCCCGGUUUAAGCAUGUAGGCGGGAAGUUUAGGUAAAUCCGGACUUCUUUUAACGCUGAGGUGUGAUGACGAGGCACUACGGUGCUGAAGUAACAAAUGCCCUGCUUCCAGGAAAAGCCUCUAAGCAUCAGGUAACAACGAAUCGUACCCCAAACCGACACAGGUGGUCAGGUAGAGAAUACCAAGGCGCUUGAGAGAACUCGGGUGAAGGAACUAGGCAAAAUGGUGCCGUAACUUCGGGAGAAGGCACGCUGAUGGUAGGUGAAGCGACUUGCUCGUGGAGCUGAAAUCAGUCGAAGAUACCAGCUGGCUGCAACUGUUUAUUAAAAACACAGCACUGUGCAAACACGAAAGUGGACGUAUACGGUGUGACGCCUGCCCGGUGCCGGAAGGUUAAUUGAUGGGGUUAUCCGUAAGGAGAAGCUCUUGAUCGAAGCCCCGGUAAACGGCGGCCGUAACUAUAACGGUCCUAAGGUAGCGAAAUUCCUUGUCGGGUAAGUUCCGACCUGCACGAAUGGCGUAAUGAUGGCCAGGCUGUCUCCACCCGAGACUCAGUGAAAUUGAACUCGCUGUGAAGAUGCAGUGUACCCGCGGCAAGACGGAAAGACCCCGUGAACCUUUACUAUAGCUUGACACUGAACAUUGAGCCUUGAUGUGUAGGAUAGGUGGGAGGCUUUGAAGCGUGGACGCCAGUCUGCGUGGAGCCAACCUUGAAAUACCACCCUUUAAUGUUUGAUGUUCUAACGUAGACCCGUGAUCCGGGUUGCGGACAGUGUCUGGUGGGUAGUUUGACUGGGGCGGUCUCCUCCCAAAGAGUAACGGAGGAGCACGAAGGUUAGCUAAUCCUGGUCGGACAUCAGGAGGUUAGUGCAAUGGCAUAAGCUAGCUUGACUGCGAGCGUGACGGCGCGAGCAGGUGCGAAAGCAGGUCAUAGUGAUCCGGUGGUUCUGAAUGGAAGGGCCAUCGCUCAACGGAUAAAAGGUACUCCGGGGAUAACAGGCUGAUACCGCCCAAGAGUUCAUAUCGACGGCGGUGUUUGGCACCUCGAUGUCGGCUCAUCACAUCCUGGGGCUGAAGUAGGUCCCAAGGGUAUGGCUGUUCGCCAUUUAAAGUGGUACGCGAGCUGGGUUUAGAACGUCGUGAGACAGUUCGGUCCCUAUCUGCCGUGGGCGCUGGAGAAUUGAGGGGGGCUGCUCCUAGUACGAGAGGACCGGAGUGGACGCAUCACUGGUGUUCGGGUUGUCAUGCCAAUGGCAUUGCCCGGUAGCUAAAUGCGGAAAAGAUAAGUGCUGAAAGCAUCUAAGCACGAAACUUGCCCCGAGAUGAGUUCUCCCUGACUCCUUGAGAGUCCUGAAGGAACGUUGAAGACGACGACGUUGAUAGGUCGGGUGUGUAAGCGUAGCGAUACGUUGAGCUAACCGAUACUAAUGAACCGUGAGGCUUAACCUUACAACGCC
rnacentral:rRNA from 1 species